AGUGAACGCUGGCGGUAGGCCUAACACAUGCAAGUCGAACGGCAGCACAGUAAGAGCUUGCUCUUACGGGUGGCGAGUGGCGGACGGGUGAGGAAUACAUCGGAAUCUACUUUUUCGUGGGGGAUAACGUAGGGAAACUUACGCUAAUACCGCACACGACCUACGGGUGAAAGCAGGGGAUCUUCGGACCUUGCGCGAUUGAAUGAGCCGAUGUCGGAUUAGCUAGUUGGCGGGGUAAAGGCCCACCAAGGCGACGAUCCGUAGCUGGUCUGAGAGGAUGAUCAGCCACACUGGAACUGAGACACGGUCCAGACUCCUACGGGAGGCAGCAGUGGGGAAUAUUGGACAAUGGGCGCAAGCCUGAUCCAGCCAUACCGCGUGGGUGAAGAAGGCCUUCGAGUUGUAAAGCCCUUUUGUUGGGAAAGAAAAGCAGCAGGUUAAUACCCCGCUGUUCUGACGGUACCCAAAGAAUAAGCACCGGCUAACUUCGUG
rnacentral:rRNA from 1 species